ACCCCUCCUGUUCCCCCUUUAUCAAAUCGUUAUAUUGUAACAAGUUCAACAAAGAAGUUCCACCCACCUCCCCUCCACCAUUCAACCUCUCACAUCACCACCCCCAACCGCCGAUCACCCUAACCCCGGCCCCUUUAUCACUCAUCGCGACCACCGCUCACCGUCCAACCGCCGUCACCCCUCCUUCUUCCCUCACUUCACCCCGUUAAACCAACCGCCGGUACCCCUUCUCCCUUCUACACCAACCGCCGCCACCCACCAUCUCCCGCACCCUACCGCCGACCACCCUCUACCUCAUCACUGAUACCCACAGCCGACAGCCGAUUUCUUCCAGCAAUUCACCAUCUUUCAUUAAUAAAUCGGGACGUCACUUGGGAAUCGACUUACAACCGGAAAUUUUUUCUUACUCUCUCUUGUUUCUCACAAAUUCAAGGAUGCCAGGUGAAGGUUCCUCGUCAGGCAAUAAACGCAGGCGAUGUGCUUCCACGAGAUCUCAGGGGGCUGCUUAGGAGCAGCCGACGAAUUUACCACUGAGAGUGGUCAGUUAUCGUGGAGCAGGGUUUGAGAUGAGGAGUAGAUGGUGUGGGUUGAGGAUGAUGCAGCAGUGACUGAGCAUAU